rnacentral:rRNA from 1 species
AUUGAACGCUGGCGGCAGGCCUAACACAUGCAAGUCGAACGAGUGGCGGACGGGUGAGUAAUGUCUGGGAAACUGCCCGCUGGAGGGGGGUAACUCCUGGAAACGGUAGCUAAUACCGCAUACCCUCGGAUGUGCCCAGAUGGGAUUAGCUAGUGGGUGGGGUAACGGCGCACCUAGGCGACGAUCCCUAGCUGGUCUGAGAGGAUGACCAGCCACACUGGAACUGAGACACGGUCCAGACUCCUACGGGAGGCAGCAGUGGGGAAUAUUGGACAAUGGGCGAAAGCCUGAUGCAGCCAUGCCGCGUGUAUGAAGAAGGCCUUCGGGUUGUAAAGUACUUUCAGCGAGGAGGCGGUACUCGCAGAAGAAGCACCGGCUAACUCCGUGCCAGCAGCCGCGGUAAUAC